GAUGAACGCUGGCGGCGUGCCUAAUACAUGCAAGUCGAGCGAACGGACGAGAAGCUUGCUUCUCUGAUGUUAGCGGCGGACGGGUGAGUAACACGUGGAUAACCUACCUAUAAGACUGGGAUAACUUCGGGAAACCGGAGCUAAUACCGGAUAAUAUUUUGAACCGCAUGGUUCAAAAGUGAAAGACGGUCUUGCUGUCACUUAUAGAUGGAUCCGCGCUGCAUUAGCUAGUUGGUAAGGUAACGGCUUACCAAGGCAACGAUGCAUAGCCGACCUGAGAGGGUGAUCGGCCACACUGGAACUGAGACACGGUCGGGACUCCUACGGGAGGCAGCAAUAGGGAAUCUUUCGCGAUUGGCGAAAGCCUGACGGAGCAAAGCCGCGUGAAUGAUGAUGGUCUUCUGAUCUUAAAAAUCUGUUAUUAGGGAAGAACAUAUAUGUAAGGACCUGUGCACAUCUUGCCGGUACCUAAUCAGAAAGGCACAGCUAACUACGUG
rnacentral:rRNA from 1 species